rnacentral:rRNA from 1 species
UCCAGAGGUCUCAAGCGUUGUUCGGAUUCAUUGGGCGUAAAGGGUGCGUAGGUGGCGCUGUAAGUCGGGUGUGAAAUUUCGGAGCUUAACUCCGAAACUGCAUUCGAUACUGCGGUGCUUGAGGACUGGAGAGGAGACUGGAAUUCAUGGUGUAGCAGUGAAAUGCGUAGAGAUCAUGAGGAAGACCAGUGGCGAAGGCGGGUCUCUGGACAGUUCCUGACACUGAGGCACGAAGGCCAGGGGAGCAAACGGG